ACCUGUAUCGAAAGUGACUAUGGCGCAACUGUUGCCAUAGUCAUUGAUGUUACGGGAAUUGUGACGGAAAUAUUUUACCGUGUUUGUUGGAAUAUCUUUUCCUGUCAAACCCUGUCUUUCAAACA
rnacentral:snoRNA from 1 species